AUGGGCACACAAAAAAACCCUGAGACUUGCAACUGGGGAGAGUUCGGCCGUUGCCAGCGAGAGUCACCAGUGAAAGAGAGGGCGCAGAAAGAGAGCCAAAGAGAGAGCAUCAAGCAUGGUAUGGUAGUGAGUGGAUGGACGAGUUGGAGCAGCAGAAGCGGCAGCAUUGUGUCAACUGUGUAAUGUAAGCAAAGAAGUCAUCGAGAGGGUAGGCGGCGGAGGUAGAGGUGGGGGCAGCUGGCAGGCAACACGGCAAAAAAAAAAAAAAAAAACGCCAAGCCAAGCCAAGGCAAUGAAACAAAUGUACCACAAAAACUGUUGACGACACAUUGAGAGAAGCAUAAAAAAAAGAGCGAAAGGGGGUAAUGACGGACGCAGGACACAAAAAAGGGAUAAAAAAUAAUAACAGCAGGAGGAAGAGCUAUGCUAAGCCAUGGAAAUGGAUUAGUGCCGAAAAGCAGGUAAACCCUUAUAUCUUGAGACGGAAUCAAUCACUCAGAAAACUGGAUUAUAGAGCGGAGAGUGGGAGAGUCUUAGAGUGGAGAAUGGAGACACCUUGUUUAAAGUAUAAGAGGUUGCUGUUAUAAAUAUUAAAAGUUAAUAAUACCAAUGAUCUUAUAUAGAUAAUGUCUUAUAUAAUAAUAUAUAGUAUCUUGAGUAAAAUUUGUAUCUUAUAGAGAACCUCAACUGACUUCGAUUAUUGACAUUUUGCAAUUGUUUAAUUAAUUCGACCUUUGGGGGGGCUAUCUACAUACGCGACACACACACACACACCCUGCCUUGGCGAAAGAAAGAAAGAGAGGGGUAGCCCAAAAAGCCAGAGCGAAAGAUGGAAGCAGGGCAAAAGUGCGAUAAGCACGUAGCCAGAGCAAAAACGAAACGAGAUUAUUAAUCAAUCCGCAAGAUACAGAUGCAGAUACCGCACAUGUGUGCAUGUGUGUGUGUGUGUGUGUCUCAGUCUCAGUCUGAAAGUAUCUGUGAGUUCGAGUAUCCACAAUACAUUGAAAUAAAGAUGCAUGAGUGAGCGCGCGCAGUACACCGAGUAUAAUAAUCGCAGUAUCGAGAUGCAAUGGCGACACAUCCUCAGCUCCAGAAAAAAAAAAAUCCACUCACACUAGAGUAGUUUGUGGCAUGCAUGUAUGCAAAAAGAUCGUCUCGAGGAGCGAAUCGGAGCUAAGGGAAACUAAUCGUAAAUUUUGACUAAACUAAAUCGGGGAGAAGAAAAUAAGAAAAAAAUAAAUAAAAAGCAAUGGCAGGUAGAAAAGGGCAGCAGACUCUCAUUCAGAUUUUAAACUGAAAGGCAGAGGCAGAGGCAUCAAUAUAUAUUGAUGGACUGCUGGCUGGACUGUCAGUCAGUUGUGCUGGCCAUUCGGCAGGGCAACUUUUUCCACAGUUUUACGACUGACAGGUGUGAAGUGAAAAAUGCGCCGACGCAGCAGCUGCAGCAACUGCACUCAGACUCCGUGAUGGCAGAGCGAAAGAGUGAGGUGCCAGUGGCUGAAGAUGCGACGGCAACACGUGAGGCGCACGCGCACAGUGGGAUAUAAUUGCAUAAAUGAUAAUAAAAAUAAAAAUAAAUUUAAAAAAUAGGUAAAAAUUGUAAAUUUAAAAUAAAAAAUACAACAAAAAAAUAAAAUAAAAUAUAAAAUUUUAAAAUUAAAAGGAAAAAUAAAAAAUAAUAAUAUAAAAAGUAAAAAUUGUAAAUUACUUCAUUUAGUUACUUUGCCCCACAGUAACUAGCAGCAGCCAAAUGCUAAUAAAAUAAUAAAUCGAA